AUUAUUGAAUAAACUGGUUGGGUUGGUGCUGGCUCUCAUGAGCAUGUGCACGCCUAAUCCAUUUUUAACCACCUGUGCACCUUAUGUAGACUUGAACAAAUUUCGAGAUCCAUUGUGUUACUCGCUUAGAGAAUUGCUGCUGUCUGUAUAGGCCAAGCUUUUCUUGUUCUUCAAGUCUAUGUCUUUAUUACUAAACCCCAGUAUAAGAAUGUAAUUGAUAGGCUAUUGUGCCUUUAAUCACAAAUACAACUUUCAACAACGGAUCUCUUGGCUCUCGCAUCGAUGAAGAACGCAGCGAAAUGCGAUAAGUAAUGUGAAUUGCAGAAUUCAGUGAAUCAUCGAAUCUUUGAACGCACCUUGCGCUCCUUGGUAUUCUGAGGAGCAUGCCUGUUUGAGUAUCAUGAAAUUCUCAACCUUUUCUAGCUUUUGCAAGCUAGGUUGGGCUUGGAUUAUGGAAGUUGCUGGCUUGUUUGAAGCCAGCUCUUCUAAAAUGCAUUAGCAAAAGAUCAUUGCUGCUUAUCAUUUGGUAUGAUAAUUAUUUAUACCAUUGUGAGUUGGCGUUUCAUUUUGCUUCUAACUGUCUCUAUUAUAGGGGACAAAUUUGAUAAUUUUGAUCUCAAAUCAGGUAGGACUACCCGCUGAACUUAAGCAUAUCAAUAAGCGGAGGAAAAGAAACUAACAAGGAUUCCCCUAGUAACUGCGAGUGAAGCGGGAAAAGCUCAAGAUUCUAAAAUCUGGUGGUCUAUGGCUGCCCGAGUUGUAAUCUAGAGAAGCAUUAUCCGCGCUGGACCGUGUACAAGUCU
rnacentral:rRNA from 1 species